GCGCGCCUACCAUGCAGUCGAGCGGACCCUUCGGGGUUAGCGGCGGACGGGUGAGUAACGCGUGGGAACAUACCCUUUGGUACGGAAUAGCCUCGGGAAACUGGGAGUAAUACCGUAUGUGCCCUUCGGGGGAAAGAUUUAUCGCCAAAGGAUUGGCCCGCGUUGGAUUAGGUAGUUGGUGGGGUAAUGGCCUACCAAGCCGACGAUCCAUAGCUGGUUUGAGAGGAUGAUCAGCCACACUGGGACUGAGACACGGCCCAGACUCCUACGGGAGGCAGCAGUGGGGAAUCUUAGACAAUGGGCGCAAGCCUGAUCUAGCCAUGCCGCGUGAGCGAUGAAGGCCUUAGGGUUGUAAAGCUCUUUCAGUGGGGAAGAUAAUGACGGUACCCACAGAAGAAGCCCCGGCUAACUCCGUGCCAGCAGCCGCGGUAAUACGGAGGGGGCUAGCGUUGUUCGGAAUUACUGGGCGUAAAGCGCACGUAGGCGGACUGGAAAGUUGGAGGUGAAAUCCCAUGGCUCAACCUUGGGACUGCCUUCAAAACUCCCAGUCUUGAGGUCGAGAGAGGUAAGUGGAAUUCCGAGUGUAGAGGUGAAAUUCGUA
rnacentral:rRNA from 1 species